rnacentral:rRNA from 1 species
CACGGGGGGAGCAAGCGUUGUUCGGAAUCACUGGGCGUAAAGGGCGUGUAGGCGGUCAGGUAAGUGGGAUGUGAAAUGCCCCGGCUCACCCGGGGACCGGCAUCCCAUACUGCUUGGCUUGAGUACGGGAGAGGAUGUGGGAAUUCCAGGUGUAGCGGUGAAAUGCGUAGAGAUCUGGAGGAAUACCGAUGGCGAAGGCAGCCUUCUGGCCUAAUACUGACGCUGAGGUGCGAAAGCAUGGGGAGCAAACAGG